rnacentral:tRNA from 1 species
AAGACUUUAAGUUAAUUAAACUAAUAUCCUUCAAAGCUAUAAAUAAAGAUAAUUCUUUAAGUCUUA